GCAUAAAAUGCGACGAAUUUAUAGUUUAAUCCUUUACACUUUUGCUUAGUUAUUUCGUUAAAAAGAUCAAACUAACUUUGUUAUUUUCUUAGGAGGUUUGUGGAUCAACCAUGGAAAAAUAGGAGCUCAAUUGUGGCAAGUUAAGGCUCAGAUGUAUAAUACUGAUGCAAAAGAUGAAGGACAACCAUUUAUGUGGUCAGAAACAAGAAGGGAAGCUUGUGGAAAACUUCGUGCAAAACAGUUGCUGAGAAGCAAAAUAUGAAAACUGGAAUCUGCCUUAUUUUCUUCUAUAUUUGGACCCCAUUUUGAAGAUAUUUUGAGUGCACCAUGGCAGCAAUUCUUGACUACAUGUGAAAACCAGAUAUUUCACUACAAUAAAGCCAAAUCAAGUGAUCAUAAUAGUCAAGGAUCAAGUCAGAAACGUUGCACAAAGUAGGCAUCCUGAUCAGCUUUCCACCUUCAGUCUUAUCUAUGAAGCAUAUUGGAGCUGUCUUUUGGAGACUUUCUUGGAAAGUCUUUUGGAAGGAUAUUGUUUGGACGUCAAUAAAUGAUAUCAUAGGGCAUUAUAGGCCUAAGAAACGUUCAGAAAGAUAGCUACAAGGUCGGUGUACAAGCCCAUAAAAUUGACCAGAAGAUAAGGAAAAUCUGGAAAUUUCUGACAGACCUUAUCUUGAAGGCUUUUCAAGGCUGCUUUUGGGCAGCAAGUUGAGGGGAUUUUUAGAAGAUCUUUAUACACUCUUAAAUAUCAACAUCAAGGCUGUUAUCUUGUUAAAAAUCACAUUCAAAGCUGAAAUGAAACCGAGUUAAAAGAAGGGCUAAAAAGGCAAUCCUAAGUGAGGCAGAUAAGGAAGUCACCUUCCUUAUCUCUUGGCAGAUUGUUUUGAGGCUUCUUGGGGAUCCUUUGCUGAGUUAUACACGUUUUAUAUGAGCUGUUAGCAUGUUUUAUAUCAGCUGUAAAGGAUCUACAAGUCAAAGAAUUCAGCCUAAGAAGAGAAAAUCAAAUAGAACAAGUAAACAAGCUUGGCCUAAUUGCAAGAGUGCCCUUGAAACUUGCAACUCCUACAUAAAGGGGCCUCCUUCCAUGUUUUAUAAAUAGAGUGACCAACCACAUACAGACCAUAUCACAUAAAAAAGAACCAGAGACACACCAAAGAAGAAGAAGAAGAAGAAGAAGCAAGACUGCAAAAUCACACCAGAGACGAUCGAUCACUGUUUCUCAAAGAUCGAUCAUUGAUCGUAUUUUUCCCAAUUUCUGAUUUUUGUUGUCUUCCUUUCUCAUGAACUCCUUUGUGUUUUUGAUUCCAAUUAUGUGUAACUAAAUUUCCAGUAGCUAGGGAGCUGUUGAAGCCCCUAGACAUGAUCCAUAACAUGCUUUGAUUUUCGGUUUGUUUUCAAUUAAUAAAGUUGAGGUUUUGUUUACCAAUUUCUCAUUGAUGAAUUCUAUGUUUGUAUGCUUUGGAGGACUACUUAGUAUGCAUGCUAGGGUUCUAAUACUUUGAUGGUUUGAUGCCUGGAUCAAUAGUUGGAUUCCUCAAAUUAUCUAGAGAAGUAAUUGGUAGUUUUCACUAGCAAGUAAACAAAAUCCUAGGUUUAGCAAGGCUCUAAGUUAUUUGCGAUGCCUAGUGAUUGCUCAAACUCUUUUCAAACUUAAUGAUCUCUGCAUGUUUAAUCUAAUAAACGUACCUUUAGGUUGCAUUGCUUGGGAAUAGUCUAGGUGUAGAGCACUUCCUGCCUAGCGUACAAGGUAAGAAAGAGUAAUAGGUUGUGUUCAAGCGUACCGAGCCAAUCUGAGUAUCUUCAACUAAGUUAAUUGGUGAUAAAUUGGACAAAGUGUGUUGUGUGUUAUUGUUGGGGGUGGAUACUUCCUUCCUAGCUAGUUUCAUUAUCUUGAUCUCAACCAACUUCAAAUCUGCUUCAAUUUCAUUUUUCUUUCUGUUCUCUGUUUUUCUGUAUUUUAUUUCCAUAGCAAAUCAACUCCAAAAUUCACCAAAUUUUGUGUGCUAGACUCUUUACGUGUGUAGUAUAUCUCUGUAAAUUUUCGUAUUUUUCUGGGUUGUUUUAGUUAGGUUUUUAGUUUGUUUUUCUACUGCGGUUCAGUAGGAGCUGCAGUCACGUUUUUGUGACUUUUGUUGAAGCCUUUAGUUUAUCUUAAUCCUCUGCGGGAGACUCUUAUUUUCCUAUAUUACAAUCGACAUAUUUGCAGGAGAAUAAGGAAAAUCAAUAGCUUUAAAAAGAGCUAUCAUUUACCUUUGAAAUAGAGGAUGAAUGCAACAGCUGUAUAUAUUCAGACAAAUAUAAUUCUUAUGGGCCCACCACGUUUCAACAAAGCAAAUAGAAAACAGACGUUUAAAGGAAACCAACAACUGACAGAGACAUCAGAAAAUGGUACUACUGGAAACAAACAACAGCAACCAAACAAAAACAGGGAAACAAAGCAAAACUGGGUAAACCUGCCCUGAACAAGGCAAGAAAACCAGAAAACAACAACAACAAAAAAUUUGGGGGGGAGCAGCAGCGUCAAAGAGGAGAAUGCGCAUUAGGGAGGGGGGGGGGUUAGAAAACCAGUCCCCUGGGCACACCAUGCGCGAGGCCAAAGAUGCAACCAAAUCCGCCGCACCAUUCGCCCUUCUACUGGUCCAGCACCAGUUAACACAAUUGAAAUUGCAGGCAUGAGCACGAAGCCUAGCUACAAUAGUCGAAGCCCACCAAUCAACUGCCGAAAGAGGGUUUUUCAAAGCUGAAAUCAAGAUCAAGGAAUCUGAUUCAAGCUGAAAGGAAGAGAAAGAAAAGGAGGAAGCUAAACUGAGACCCAGGUCGAGAGCCAUGGCUUCAGCAGCUAGAGAGGAGGAGGCAGAUGCACUUCUUGAGAGCCCUCCCAGAAGAUUCUCAGCUGAGUCUCGAGCCAAAGCAGCAAAACCACAUUGCAGAGAGUCAUAAUUCCAGGCCGCAUACCAGGGGGGAGGAACCCAGUGAGGGGUUUCUUGUGAUGCAAUAGGGCCCACCCUCUGGCAGGGGGGUCUCAGGUUGGGAAAUAUAUCAUACCAUGUAAAGAUAUCAGGGAGAUGGAGUCAUGGAAUUACCCAAUGUGGUUUAUUGUAUAUUAAUGGGGUAAAAGAAUAAGAAUGAUCAUACUAUUGAUCACUAGAUAAUCUCAAGUAGCAUUGAUAA